UAGGGAAUCUUCCGCAAUGGACGCAAGUCUGACGGAGCAACGCCGCGUGAGUGAAGAAGGAUUUCGGUUCGUAAAACUCUGUUGUUAGAGAAGAACAGCGCAUAGAGUAACUGUUAUGCGUGUGACGGUAUCUAACCAGAAAGCCACGGCUAACUACGUGCCAGCAGCCGCGGUAAUACGUAGGUGGCAAGCGUUGUCCGGAUUUAUUGGGCGUAAAGCGAGCGCAGGCGGUCAAUUAAGUCUGAUGUGAAAGCCUCCGGCUCAACCGGGGAGGGUCAUUGGAAACUGGGUGACUUGAGUGCAGAAGAGGAGAGUGGAAUUCCAUGUGUAGCGGUGAAAUGCGUAGAUAUAUGGAGGAACACCAGUGGCGAAGGCGACUCUCUGGUCUGUAACUGACGCUGAGGCUCGAAAGCGUGGGUAGCAAACAGG
rnacentral:rRNA from 1 species